GAUGAACGCUGGCGGCGUGCCUAAUACAUGCAAGUAGAACGCUGAAGCUUGGUGCUUGCACCGAGCGGAUGAGUUGCGAACGGGUGAGUAACGCGUAGGUAACCUGCCUCUUAGCGGGGGAUAACUAUUGGAAACGAUAGCUAAUACCGCAUAAAAGUCGAUAUCGCAUGAUAUUGAUUUGAAAGGUGCAAAUGCAUCACUAAGAGAUGGACCUGCGUUGUAUUAGCUAGUUGGUGAGGUAACGGCUCACCAAGGCGACGAUACAUAGCCGACCUGAGAGGGUGAUCGGCCACACUGGGACUGAGACACGGCCCAGACUCCUACGGGAGGCAGCAGUAGGGAAUCUUCGGCAAUGGGGGCAACCCUGACCGAGCAACGCCGCGUGAGUGAAGAAGGUUUUCGGAUCGUAAAGCUCUGUUGUAAGAGAAGAACGAGUGUGAGAGUGGAAAGUUCACACUGUGACGGUAACUUACCAGAAAAGGACGGCUAACUACGUG
rnacentral:rRNA from 1 species